CCUGGAGACAGCGGUGACAGCUCUGCUGCUGUGUUCAGGCCGCGUCACCGGCUCUGGAGGUUCACCUCUCUGCCCUCUGCUCCAGAGGCCAGAUGCACUUCAUUCCAGCAACGAUAACCAAGAAAGUGUGUACAGACAUGGGGAGAGCUGCGGACGCAGAAGGGAGCUCCUGAGGAGACGCCUUCCCGCUGCAGGAUCCCGGUGCUUGUGAGAUGCGGCCCCGUGUAAUGAGCGGCUCAUUUAUCCUGCAACACUGGACCAAGCGGCACCACCAUGCAGAGAGAGGGUGGUAGACUGCCGCCUGGCACCAGAACAAAGGCAAUGGAAGGCUUCCUCCUCCGGCAGGGAGGAGAGGCGGGAGAGAGGCUUGGAGGGCACGAGAAGACAGAGGACAUUGAGGUUCAUGCGGGAAGAAGACGGUGACGACAGCCGGGAGCAGCACGGCGGUGGCUUAGGAGUCCCACACCACACCGGCUCGCCACCAAGGUCGCUCUGCAGACCCUUUGUGACGCCACGCAGAUCGUAAUCUAAAUUAAGCUAAGCUGUGACGCUCGCAGAGGAAUAAAGUGUACUCGUGAUGUUGGGUUGUUUCCUCCCACACGACUCCAAAGUGACUAAACAGAAAAAUUUUUAUAAAUCUGACAUCAGCACAAUGAAAAAUGUUCCACGUACCAGUAAAAAAUGAAAAGACAAGCCAUGGACUACAGUACAGUAUUUCCAGUACAUAUAUCUGAUAAAGUACUUCCAUCCGGAAUAUAUAAAGAAUGUGCACUACUCAAAAAUCAAAA